rnacentral:misc_RNA from 1 species
GUAGGUGAACCUGCGGAAGGAUCAUUACUGAGUUCAUGCCCUAACGGGUAGAUCUCCCACCCUUGAAAAUAUAAACCUUUGUUGCUUUGGUGGGCCGCUUUGGCUACCGGCUUAGGCUGGUAAGUGCCCGCCAGAGAACCUAAAACUCUGAAUUAUAUUGUCGUCUGAGUACUAUAAAAUAGUUAAAACUUUCAACAACGGAUCUCUUGGUUCUG